GCGGGGAUAGCUCAGUUGGGAGAGCGUCAGACUGAAGCCAUUAAACUUCAUUCCUAAAGAUUAUCUGAAGGUCGUGUGUUCGAUCCACACUCACCGCA